rnacentral:rRNA from 1 species
UUGGAGGGCAAGUCUGGUGCCAGCAGCCGCGGUAAUUCCAGCUCCAAUAGCGUAUAUUAAAGUUGUUGCAGUUAAAAAGCUCGUAGUUGAACCUUGGGCCUGGCUGGCCGGUCCGCCUCACCGCGUGCACUCGUCCGGCCGGGCCUUCCUUCUGAAGAACCUCAUGCCCUUCACUGGGCGUGUUGGGGAAUCAGGACUUUUACUUUGAAAAAAUUAGAGUGUUCAAAGCAGGCCUUUGCUCGAAUACGUUAGCAUGGAAUAAUAAAAUAGGGCGUGCGUUUCUAUUUUGUUGGUUUCUAGAAGCGCCGCAAUGAUUAACAGGAACAGUCGGGGGCAUCAGUAUUCAGUUGUCAGAGGUGAAAUUCUUGGAUUUACUGAAGACUAACUACUGCGAAAGCAUUUGCCAAGGAUGUUUUCAUUAAUCAGUGAACGAAAGUUAGGGGAUCGAAGACGAUCAGAUACCGUCGUAGUCUUAACCAUAAACUAUGCCGACUAGGGAUCGGACGGUGGUUUUUUUAUGCCCCGUUCGGCGCCUUACGGGAAAC